GCCCCUAUUUUGGAGAAUAAUGAUGGUUAUGAAGUAAACUUUGUAAGUUUAUUCACAUUCUCUUAGAUAGUGGCCU
rnacentral:pre_miRNA from 1 species